GAAGGGUGCAAGCGUUAAUCGGAAUUACUGGGCGUAAAGCGUGCGUAGGCGGUUCGUUAAGUCUGUCGUGAAAGCCCUGGGCUCAACCUGGGAAUGGCGAUGGAUACUGGCGAGCUAGAGUGUGAUAGAGGAUGGCGGAAUUCCCGGUGUAGCGGUGAAAUGCGUAGAGAUCGGGAGGAACAUCCGUGGCGAAGGCGGCCAUCUGGAUCAACACUGACGCUGAGGCACGAAGGCGUGGGGAGCAAACAGGAUUAGAUACCCUGGUAGUCCACGCCCUAAACGAUGCGAACUGGAUGUUGGUCUCAACUCGGAGAUCAGUGUCGAAGCUAACGCGUUAAGUUCGCCGCCUGGGGAGUACGGUCGCAAGACUG
rnacentral:rRNA from 1 species